GAUGAAGAACGCAGCGAAAUGCGAUACGUAGUGUGAAUUGCAGAAUUCAGUGAAUCAUCGAAUCUUUGAACGCACAUUGCGCCCUUUCGUAUUCCAAAGGGCAUGCCUGUUCGAGCGUCAUUUGUACCCUCAAGCUUUGCUUGGUGUUGGGCGUCUUGUCUCCAGUCCGCUGGAGACUCGCCUUAAAGUCAUUGGCAGCCGGCCUACUGGUUUCGGAGCGCAGCACAAGUCGCACUCUUUUCCAGCCAAGGUCAGUGUCCAACAAGCCUUUUUUCAACUUUUGACCUCGGAUCAGGUAGGGAUACCCGCUGAACUUAAGCAUAUCAAUAAGCGGAGGA
rnacentral:misc_RNA from 1 species